UAAAGAUAAAGGACAGUAAGACUUGCGAGGUAAAUUUACCUCUGGCGUCUUGACAGCCGGUUCACCACUACUACCCACGAUCUGUUCCGCACGCAGCCACAUCGGUUCCCUCCUGUGGAGGCCAACAGAUCAGGUCCCUCUAUCCUUGCAGCCAUGAACUGGCUCUGGCGGCUUUGCUGAAGGAGCAUCGGUCAUCUCGCCGGCGGGAUUCGGGCGGGACCCAAUUCAGCGUAAGCGGCGGCGCCAAGUGCGCAAGUCUGACCUCGACAUCCAUGAAUCAGUUUCGCCAGGGAAGCGAGCUCAGGGGCCCUGAUUGAAUGGAUCCCAAGAUCUCACCGGCCGCGGUUGAGUCAUCAUGGUCUAGGGAGAUACCAAUACCCAAUUCCAAAGAAAGUAUUUUUGUUGUAGGGAUCCAGGUGGGGCCUCACCAUACAAGUAUCUACUUACUGUGAUCAAUGAUGAUGAACUCCAUCAAAACAUACUAUUUUUCCUCUACAGAAUUCCCCUUUUGUCAAUCGACUUUAGUUGUAUAGCCUGAUUGACCUGUCAAACUCAUUGUAUUUUCCUUGCCGUUUUCUUGGGAAGGCAUGGGAGAAAGAUUUUGUUCUAGGAUAUAGCUUUGUACCGCAAUGCAUGAUGAGCAAAUCUAACUGCAAAUACACUUGUAUUGUUCAGAAAAGCUCUCUGGUUCUGUUACUCAGAGUCGUACAUGCAGAUAGUAGCUCCUCCAAACAUUAUUGUAAUGUUACUACUUAAUGUGGAUUCUGGAGGUGCGGCUAAAAUUUCCUACUAGAGGCCCAUGCGUGGCUACCUGGUUGCUCCAAUCUGCUGGCUCAACAUUUGCUUGUUGAGGGUGCUGGCUUUUAAUUUUUUUUGGGUUUGUCUUGUAAAACACUGGUCGUUUCUUUGAUGGAAUUCACCGAGGCGUGCUCAUUGUUUAUUUAAGGUGUGGAUUUAAAGUAGAUAUACCUCAUGUUGGAGUUGAAGUAAAUCCUUCACGUACUAAUUGUAGAGUUUCCUAUUAGU